AGUAUAAACGAUUUAAUCGUGAAACCGCGAAUGGCUCAUUAUAACAGCUAUAAUUUACUUGAUCUUGACACAAUCCUACUUGGAUAACUGUGGUAAUUCUAGAGCUAAUACAUGCAUUAAAGCUCUGACCUCACGGGAAGAGUGCAUUUAUUAGAACAAAACCAAGCGGCUUCGGCUGUUUCUGGUUGACUCAUAGUAACUGAGCUGAUCGCAUGGUCUUGCACCGGCGACGUGUCUUUCAAGUAUCUGCCGUAUCAACUUUCGAUGGUAGUGUAUCUGACUACCAUGGUGAUCACGCGUAACGGAGAAUAAGGGUUCGGCUCCGGAGAGUUCGCCUGAGAAAUCGCGAACACAUCUAAGGAAGGCAGCAGGCGCGAAAAUUACCCACUCUCAGCACGAGGAGGUAGUGACGAAAAAUAACGAGACCGUUCUCUUAUGAGGCCGGUCAUCGGAAUGGGUACAAUCUAAACCCCUUAACGAGUAUCUAUGAGAGGGCAAGUCUGGUGCC
rnacentral:rRNA from 1 species